rnacentral:rRNA from 1 species
AUUGAACGCUGGCGGCAGGCCUAACACAUGCAAGUCGAACGAGUGGCGGACGGGUGAGUAAUGUCUGGGAAACUGCCUGAUGGCGGGGGAUAACUACUGGAAACGGUCGUUAAUACCGCAUACCAUAAGAUGUGCCCAGAUGGGAUUAGCUUGUUGGUGGGGUAACGGCUCACCAAGGAGACGAGCCCUAGCUGGUCUGAGAGGAUGAACAGCCACACUGGAACUGAGAAAAGGUACAGACUCCAACGAGGGGCAGCAGUGGGGAAUAGUUCACAAUGUGCGCAAGCCUGAUGCAGCCAGGUCGCGUGUAUUAAGAAGGCCUUCGGGUUGUAUGUUACUUUCAGCGGGGAGGCGUGACCCGCAGAAGAAGCACCGGCUAACUCCGUGCCAGCAGCCGCGGUAAUUC